CGUGUGCUUACAAGUAGUCAGAGCCCGUUAAUGGGUGAUGGCGUGCCUUUUGUAGAAUGAACCGGCGAGUUACGAUUUGAUGCAAGGUUAAGCAGUAAAUGUGGAGCCGUAGCGAAAGCGAGUCUGAAUAGGGCGUUUAGUAUUUGGUCGUAGACCCGAAACCAGGUGAUCUACCCUUGGUCAGGUUGAAGUUCAGGUAACACUGAAUGGAGGACCGAACCGACUUACGUUGAAAAGUGAGCGGAUGAACUGAGGGUAGCGGAGAAAUUCCAAUCGAACCUGGAGAUAGCUGGUUCUCUCCGAAAUAGCUUUAGGGCUAGCCUCAAGUGAUGAUUAUUGGAGGUAGAGCACUGUUUGGACGAGGGGCCCCUCUCGGGUUACCGAAUUCAGACAAACUCCGAAUGCCAAUUAAUUUAACUUGGGAGUCAGAACAUGGGUGAUAAGGUCCGUGUUCGAAAGGGAAACAGCCCAGACCACCAGCUAAGGUCCCAAAAUAUAUGUUAAGUGGAAAAGGAUGUGGCGUUGCCCAGACAACUAGGAUGUUGGCUUAGAAGCAGCCAUCAUUUAAAGAGUGCGUAAUAGCUCACUAGUCGAGUGACACUGCGCCGAAAAUGUACCGGGGCUAAACAUAUUACCGAAGCUGUGGAUUGUCCUUUGGACAAUGGUAGGAGAGCGUUCUAAGGGCGUUGAAGCAUGAUCGUAAGGACAUGUGGAGCGCUUAGAAGUG
rnacentral:rRNA from 1 species